rnacentral:rRNA from 1 species
AUUGAACGCUGGCGGCAUGCUUUACACAUGCCAGUCGAACGGCAACGCGGAGAAGCUUGCUUCUCUGUCGGCGAGUGGCGAACGGGUGAGUAUAGCAUCGGAACGUGCCAAGUAGUGGGGGAUAACCAAACGAAAGUUUGGCUAAUACCGCGUAAGCUCCAAGGAGGAAAGUAGGGGACCUAAAUAAGGCCUUACGCUAUUUGAUCGGCCGAUGUCGGAUUAGCUAGUUGGUGGGGUAAUGGCUCACCAAGGCAAUGAUCCGUAGCGGGUCUGAGAGGACGAUCCGCCACACUGGGACUGAGACACGGCCCAGACUCCUACGGGAGGCAGCAGUGGGGAAUUUUGGACAAUGGGGGAAACCCUGAUCCAGCCAUGCCGCGUGUAUGAAGAAGGCCUUAGGGUUGUAAAGUACUUUUGUUAGGGAAGAAAAGCUAGUUUUUAAUAAAAAGUAGUGAUGACGGUACCUAAAGAAUAAGCACCGGCUAACUACGUG